AUUAUACCCCUUUUCCCACUCAAAAGACCAGCGCACAACUUUUCCCCCUCACUCUUCAGACUCAUCAUCUUUUUCAUUCUUCCGGCACCGCCAGCCACCAUUGAUGCCAUCCACCACUAAUCACAACAAAUCAUCCAAGCUAUACACACGGCUUCAUAGCUCUUUCUCUUCGUCCAAGAAAAUGAGCAAUAUAUACAUGCCAUAUUCUUUCUGAAAAUAGUGUGCUAGUUAAUAUUGGGGCAAAAUCCUAAUAGCUUAGCAACUGGGACGAAUAUUUUUGCCAUGAGAACUUGAGUUUCAAUCAAAAGUAAAAUUUGAUGCAAGUAACAAAUUUCCAUUAAUUUGGAUGUAUUGUUAUUCCACUGCUUUUCUUGUAUGCACGAUCUCUAAUUUUCUUUAGGGCAUGUGGAGGUUGCUAGCUUGUUUUUACCUUAGUUUUUAUCAUAUGGGGCGACUUGAUUUUGCCCAAAAUUCUUGUUUUUUUCACUUUAUCAAUAAAAAAGUCUUAUAGAAAUUAAUGUAUUUAGCAACAAAGAUAAAUGAAUUAAUUACUUAAGCUGCUGAACAAAUUUUAGUUCAUUCUCUU